GCCGGUUUACGUGGUUUAGUCGUGGAAAACACCCGACCAAGGUGCGGUAGAACUCGGGUUCGAGCCCCGCUGAAGGCA